rnacentral:lncRNA from 1 species
CAGAAAAAUGAGGAAAAGAAGCGCAGGAUGCCACAGAUCACUAUAGAAAAAGAGCCUUAGGAUUUUCUCCAGGUUGACCUUUCCCUAGAUUUAGGGAAUAAGAGAAGAGUGAGAGUUACAGGAAAUUACCAAAACUGGGAAUUGUUCAUUGAUCGUCGACCUUCAAUUGGCUGUUUCUCAGUUUUGAAAAAACAAAGUUAUAGGAUCUGCAAAAGUAUACGCCUGAGAGAGGAGACCACCCCUUCAUUUGGAAUUGGGCAACUAUGGGUUAACUGGGUUAUUAGGCAGCUACGGUCAACUAGGUAACUAUGCUCUCUGUAGAAUGCACCUGAGUAACCAUGACAACUUCUGUAAUCUGUCAUCAAAGGAGUAUAAUGGACUCAGAAAGUCCUGCCAGAACUCUUUGCUCCCCUCGCCACACAGGGACACGCACACACACACACACACACGCCACUCUGCUUUGUGUAAAUCCUACUUGCUAUAUUCCCAGGGAACUCCAAUGGAAGUAACCUUCAUAGAAGUAAAAAGAGUUCACAGGUCUUGGAUCACAGCUACCUAGGGAAGAGAGCAUUGUGUUAUGAAGAUGAAGGAUAAAUGCAGACCUCUGCAAUCACAGACUGUACUUUCACCUCCUACGUAGCUUGCUUUCAGAAGCUCUGCACUGUCCUAAAGACAAACUCUCUCCUAAGAGGAAAAGGAGCAG